GCCGAGGUAGCUCAGUUGGUAGAGCAUGUGCCUGAAGAGCAUGGGGUCGGCGGUUCAAGUCCGCCCCUCGGCACCA
rnacentral:tRNA from 3 species